rnacentral:rRNA from 1 species
AUUGAACGCUGGCGGCAGGCCUAACACAUGCAAGUCGAACGAGUGGCGGACGGGUGAGUAAUGUCUGGGAAACUGCCUGAUGGAGGGGGAUAAAUACCGGACACGGUAGCUAAUACCGCAUAACAUCAGAUGUGACCAGAUGGGAUUAGCGUGUUGGUGGGGUAACGGAUGACCAAGGCGACGAUCCCUACCUGGUCUGAGAGGAUGACCAGCCACACAGGAACUGAUACACGGUCCAGACUCCUACGUGAGGCAGCAGUGGGGAAUAUUGCACAAUGGGCGCAAGCCUGAUGCAGCCAUGCCGCGUGGAUGAAGAAGGCCUUCGGGUUGUAAAGUACUUUCAGCGGGGAGGCGUUACCCGCAGAAGAAGCACCGGCUAACUCCGUGCCAGCAGCCGCGGUAAUUC